rnacentral:rRNA from 1 species
GACGAACGCUGGCGGCGUGCUUAACACAUGCAAGUCGAACGCUGAAGCUCAGCUUUUGUUGGGUGGAUGAGUGGCGAACGGGUGAGUAACACGUGAGUAACCUGCCCCCUUCUUUGGGAUAACGCCCGGAAACGGGUGCUAAUACUGGAUAUUCACUGGUCUUCGCAUGGGGGUUGGUGGAAAGGGUUUUUCUGGUGGGGGAUGGGCUCGCGGCCUAUCAGCUUGUUGGUGGGGUGAUGGCCUACCAAGGCUUUGACGGGUAGCCGGCCUGAGAGGGUGACCGGUCACAUUGGGACUGAGAUACGGCCCAGACUCCUACGAGAGGCAGCAGUGGGGAAUAUUGCACAAUGGGCGCAAGCCUGAUGCAGCGACGCCGCGUGAGGGAUGGAGGCCUUCGGGUUGUGAACCUCUUUCGCUCAUGGUCAAGCCGCAACAAUGGUUGUGGUGAGGGUAGUGGGUAAAGAAGCGCCGGCUAACUACGUG